CCCCUAGAUGUUCUGGGCCGCACGCGCGCUACACUGAACAGUUCAACAAGUCUUAACCUUGGCCGAUAGGUCUGGGUAAUCUUUGAACGCGGUUCGUGAUUGGGAUAGACCUUUGCAAUUAUGGGUCUUCAACGAGGAAUUCCUAGUAAACGCAAGUCAUCAGCUUGCAUUGAUUACGUCCCUGCCCUUUGUACACACCGCCCGUCGCACCUACCGAUUGAAUGGUCCGGUGAAAUCUCGGGACGGCGGCUUGGUCGCUUGCGUCCGACUGCUGAAACUUGAUUAAACCAUAUCAUUUAGAGGAAGGUGAANUCGUAACA
rnacentral:rRNA from 1 species